ACAAGCCCUUAUAGGCCUUCUUACGCUCAGUAUUUUCUUAAUUACGAUAAUUUGAAUUUGUGACCUUUGCAUAGUUUUUAUGGAAAAAUCGGUCAAUAUUUACAUGUAACGUCAAGGUCGAUAUUGUUGCGUCUUACUCGAAACAACAAAUUCUUUUAUAAGAUUUUUUUGACCAUUCAAAUAUAUUUUUUACUGAAAUAAAUGGAUAAUACAAAAAAAAAAAAAAUAGAUUUCAAAAAACAAAUAUAUACUUUCAUUCUACCUUUUGUGAAGUGAAUGUUGAUUUAUUCAUCUACAUGUAAUGAUGUAUAUUUCAUGAAGUGAUAUACAAUAUUGAUAAAAAUUGUAGAUUUCCAAAACGUCGAUCUUUACUAAAAAAAAAAUCAAUCAGAUUUUUAAUAUUGUUGUAUCUUGUUAUACUGUAUACUUAUUAAUUUGCAAUUUAAUUAGAUCUAUAUUUAACAAUACAAAAACUCGCAUUUAUAAAUAAAUACGACUCAUCACUGUAUGAGUUGAUACGAAUUGAAAUAAACACGUGUUUCCGCUUUGGUGUAAACAUGAUGGCGAUCCGAAAUCUGAACGUCAAUUUUCACUAUUAUUAAUAUUAUUUCACGACGAAGAUCAUCACAUCAAUGAAUCAAAUAAUACGGACAUACCUUUGGUAUUAGCAGGGUGCUUUCAGCAUAUGCAACUGUACAAUACUUUCAUCUGUGAAUACCCACUUUCUAAACCCACCAUGAACUACCAGCGGAAGGUCAAUUAAUAUGUAAGGACACCAAUGAACAGACACUUUCCAAUUAUCCUACAUCAUAUACAUGGGUGGUCAAACUCACUGGAUGGUUUAUCAACACUCCCAUGAUCACGAACAGCCUUGCGCCAGGAAUUUUGCCCUGAAGUAACAUUGGAGUCUAUUGUCUCCUUUCUUUUUACAACCCUGGCAGCCAUGCAGGAUAGAAGCUGAUCACUUGUACUUGACAGCAAAUAAUAAUGUCUUGGACAAGUCAAAGAAUUUCCUCCGGUCUUACAGAGAAAUACAGUUGAUAAAAGAAUGGUGGACACAAAGUAAAAGUGCUCUUCAACAUUUUGUUGAAGAUUUCAGUCUGAUUUGGAAUUCAUCUUGCAAUAUUUCUGUAUUUGUAUAUUUGGAUAUAAGCGUCAAAUUUUCGACUUAUUGACUAAACAGUUUUGCAUUAAAUAUUGCCAAUGCUAUCUAUUACUAUUAUUUCCCUCCAAGAUAACAUGUCAAGUCUUUAUUGUACCCCUUAAGCUCUGUUAUACCAGAAAAAUCUUGUAAUGAAAUCAUUUAGUUUUUUUUUCUUGUUAAAUUAAAUCCAUGAAAAUAAGGAUUAUCUUUAAUGUCAU